rnacentral:pre_miRNA from 1 species
UAGAUACUCCCUCCGUCCCAAAAUUCUUGUCUUAGAUUUGUCUAAAUACGGAUGUAUCUAAUACUAAAACGUGACUUGAUACAUCCGUAUCUAGACAAAUGUAAGACAAGAAUUUUGGGACGGAGGGAGUAUUUU